rnacentral:rRNA from 1 species
CCUACGGGUGGCAGCAGUGGGGAAUAUUGCACAAUGGGGGAAACCCUGAUCCAGCGACGCCGCGUGAGUGAAGACGUAUCUCGGUAUUUAAAGCUCUAUCAGCAGGGGAGAAAAUGACGGUACCUGACUCACAAGCCGCGGCUAACUACGUGCCAGCAGCCGCCGUAAUACGUAGGGGGCAAGCGUUAUCCGGAUUUACUGGGUGUAAAGGGAGCGUAGGCGGGGAUGCAAGUCAGAAGUGAAAGCCCGGGGCUCAACUCCGGGACUGCAGUUGAAACUGUGUGACUGGAGUGCAGGAGAGGUAAGCGGAAUUCCUGGUGUAGCGGUGAAAUGCGUAGAUAUCAGGAGGAACACCAGUGGCGAAGG